GACGAACGCUGGCGGCAGGCUUAACACAUGCAAGUCGAGCGCCCCGCAAGGGGAGCGGCAGACGGGUGAGUAACGCGUGGGAAUCUACCCAUCUCUACGGAAUAACGCAUGGAAACGUGUGCUAAUACCGUAUACGUCCUUCGGGAGAAAGAUUUAUCGGAGAUGGAUGAGCCCGCGUUGGAUUAGCUAGUUGGUGGGGUAAAGGCCUACCAAGGCGACGGUCCAUAGCUGGUCUGAGAGGAUGAUCAGCCACACUGGGACUGAGACACGGCCCAUACUCCUACGGGAGGCAGCAGUGGGGAAUAUUGGACAAUGGGCGUAAGCAUGAUCCAGCCAUGCCGCGUGUGUGAUGAAGGCCCUAGGGUUGUAAAGCUCUUUCACCGGUGAAGAUAAUGACGGUAACCGGAGAAGAAGCCCCGGCUAACUUCGUGCCAGCCGCCGCCGUAAGAC
rnacentral:rRNA from 1 species